GCUUGGUACAGCAUGUAAAUUACUCAUCUUUGUGAAGUUGAAGGGGUUUUUGCAAUGAGUUCCUAAAGAGGCCAUAUUAGCACCUGGAUAUAUUUUUAAUACCUUUAAAAUGCCCAAGAGUGAGUCUAGAUCACGUUCAAGAAGUAAGAGUGGCAGCCCGCGCCGGAAACACAAGAAAGAGCGCAGUUAUCGCCGGCGAACGAGAAGUCGUUCUCCCAGCGCGACGCCAUCAUCAACCAAGAGAAAAAGUCGGGAUCGAUCACCUCGGCGCCGCUCUCGAUCACCACGCAGGAAGAAGAGAUAUUCGAGAAGUAGAUCUCGCUCUCCCAGUGUUGAUCGAUUUGGUCGUUCUAUAGUGAAAAGAAAAGAGGACGAUCCUGGCUCGAAACGAAAAGAGGAAGAAGAACGAUUACAGGAGAUGGAACGACAGAGAAAAAUUCGAGCCACUGAGAAAGAAAAGAUGAUGAUUGAGGAAGAAACUCAAAAACGAGUUGAAGAUCUUGUUGCUAAGAGAGUGGAGGAAGAACUUGCAAAAAGAAAAGAUGAAAUUGAUGCUGAAGUCAUGAAGAGAGUAGAGGAAGCUAAAAGAGUGAUGGAGAAGCAGAUGGUGGAAGAAUUUGAAAAAAGGCGUCAGGAGCAAAUCGAAGAACAACAAGUGAAAGAGAUACCUUUGACGGAUCAGUUGAACAGGAAAACAUUAUCAAGAGCUAGCAGUCAGUCUUUUCAAGCAUUUGGAUCUAAUCCUACCCUUCUCUUGUGCCGUUCUAUCCUUGAACAUGACAUUCAAUCUAGACAUUCACAAAAGACUGCAAUUACUCAAGAACUGCGCAAUUUUUAAAAUUGCUGUUUGCCUAGAAACUUUUGCCUAGUGGAAAAAAAUUAUUUAGGGCACUUCUUGAAGGAACAUUCCACUUUGUGCCAGCACUAAUUUGAAACUUUUUCUGGGAGAGUUCAAGUCUUUGCAGACUGUGAAGGAUUUCCUCAAGGAGACUUUGCUUGGAGCAUUUCAUAGGAAUUGUUAGGCGGAUAUGUGUAUGUAUAAAUGGUACAAAACGGCCAUUCAUGUGAUUCACAAAGCAGUUUUAAGCAUAAGUUUCUAAGUUCACAUACAUACAAGGUUUGUUUCUAUUUGUGUUUAAACAAAAUGAGCUGUGCAUUUUCCUCUGAUCAAAAGAUUUUUGUUCGUGUAUAUGAUACAUGUGUUGUAUACUUGUUUAUAGUAUUAGGGUGUAGCUGUAAGAGGAAGGAAAGGUACCAAAAAUUGUGCUUAUCUGCCUGUUUUCCUCUCUGGUUGUGGCCUUAAAUGUUAUAUCUUGGAGCACUUCUUCUAGUGGGGAAGUAUUUCUAUAUUCCAUGCUGAUCAGUUUUCCCUUCCUUUGCAAGUCUAACCCUUCAACCCCAAGCAGUGAUUGGCUUCUAAUUUCUCUUUACAAUAUCACCCUUGAAUCAAAAGUUAAGGUUAUGAGAAUGAAGGAAAUGAUCAUAAAUUUAAGGAGUGAAGAAGCUCCUGAUUGUUACACAAAUUCUCUCUGUUUGUACCAUAGGAAUUUUAAAGAUAUCAAUACCGAUGUUGGGGCAUGAAGGGUUGACUUCUUGAUUUUUGGUGCCAUUUCUUGUUCAUGUUAACAUUGUUCAUUCACAAUUUAUAACCUAGGAUUCUGGGGUACGUACAGUGUAUUUGGUUCAUUUUGGUACAAUGUUAUCGAUAAAAGAAAAGAUAUUUAUGCAAACCAAUUGUUGACAGUGAACUGCAUUUUUUUUAGGAGGAGGAACGUCGUAAAAUUACUCUGCUAGAGAGCAAAGUUGAUGAACUCCAAUUAAGACUAACUGAAGCGAAUCAAAAGUUGGCAGAAGAACGUUUACAAAUGGUGGAAGAAAGAAGAACAUUAA